CCCGGGUCUUGUACACACCGCCCGUCACACCAUGGGAGCGGGUUCUGCCGGAAGUAGUUAGCCUAACCGCAAGGAGGGCGAUUACCACGGCAGGGUUCGUGACUGGGGUG
rnacentral:rRNA from 1 species